rnacentral:rRNA from 1 species
UACGUAGGGUGCGAGCGUUGUCCGGAAUUAUUGGGCGUAAAGAGCUCGUAGGCGGUCUGUCGCGUCGGUCGUGAAAACUUGGGGCUUAACCCUGAGCUUGCGGUCGAUACGGGCAUGACUGGAGUUCGGCAGGGGAGACUGGAAUUCCUGGUGUAGCGGUGGAAUGCGCAGAUAUCAGGAGGAACACCAAUAGCGAAGGCAGCUCGCUGGGACGUUACUGACACUGAGGCGCGAAAGCGUGGGGAGCGAACAGG